UCUAAUAUGGCAGAUUAGUGCAAUGGAUUUAAGUCCCAUAUAUAGAGUAAUUAAUUAAACUUUUAUUAGAA
rnacentral:tRNA from 1 species